GGCUCGGCGACCCGAUCCUCGCGUUUUCCCCGGGGAGACUCGUCCCCACCUCUUGGGUCCGGGAACAUCAUCCCUGUCCGCUCGCGAGCGACGCGAGGCGAGGCGAGCGCUCCGCCGCCGCGCCGCGUGCUCUGCCUCCCUGCUUCUGCUGCCGCUUCACCUGCGCUCCAAGGCUCGGCUCGGCGCUGCCGCUCCACCCCCGUCUAGACGCCACCCCUGCAGCUCCCUGUUGGUGAUGCUGCUCCGCCUUCGCACCCCCACGGCAUCCGAUCUGCGACGAUGGCACCACCUCGGCCGCCGCCGCCUCCAGAGCCACCACGGUGCCUCCACUUCCUCGUCAUAUAUCUUGUUUAGAUCUUGGUGAUUUCUGAUCUGAUUGGCUGGCAUCUCCAAGAUUCACAACCUGCUGAUCACUUCAAUCGACAUUGUUGGCCUAGAUUGUGGAGAUCUUGAAGGACCGUCCAAGUUGGUUUCGUGGUUGUCGGGGUCUUGAAGUCUUUACAAUGUUACCAGCUGGAAAUGGUGGGACCAUUGAGCUUGUUUCCAUGCAGAUGUAUGCUCCUACUACUUUAGUUCCUGCAAGAGAUUUUUGGCAGUAUUGUUUCUUUCUUCCUUUGGCAGCAUGUUCACGCGUGCUUCUACUUCUGCUGUUAUCCUGCCACGAGACAUGCAAGUGCAGCUUCUGCUUCUGCGUGCUUCUGCUUCUGUCUUCAUGAAUUUCUCAAGAAUUUUAUCCUGUUGUGUGAUGGAUGAAUUGGACGUGUUGGGAUUUGAUCAAUGGAAAACUACUCUGGCUUGCAUUGUGAUCGGUUGAGAAUGAAUUGAAUAUAUUUUGUACGUCGCAGAUUUUGAGUUU